CGGGGUCUGCAGAAAGAGCUGAGUCUUCCACGCAGGGGAAACAUGCUCCAUUACACACUGGCAGUUCAUCACAGCAGCGGACGUUUGCUUGGCAAUUUCACAAGAGGGAAGACAUACUGAAGGUGUUUGUGAGGACAGUGCCAUUUCACUGCUUUGACAGGUUUUACAAGAGCUUUGCCGAGAAGCCGUUUGCAAUAUGCUCUGACUU